GAUGAACGCUGGCGGCGUGCCUAAUACAUGCAAGUCGAGCGAACAGACGAGGAGCUUGCUCCUCUGACGUUAGCGGCGGACGGGUGAGUCACACGUGGAUAACCCACCUAUAAGACUGGGAUCACUUCGGGACACCGGCUCUUAUACCGGAUAAUCUAUUGAACCGCAUGGUUCAAUAGUGAAAGACGGUUUUGAUGUCACUUCUCGCUGGAUCCCGGCCGCAUUAGCUAGUUGGUAGGGUCACGGCUUACCACGGCAACGAUGCGUAGCCGACCUGAGAGAGGGGUAGCCCACACGGGAACUGGGACAGGGUCCAGACUCCUGCGGGAGGCAGCAGUAGGGAAUCUUCCGCAGUGGGCGGAAGCUUUGCGGAGCAACGCCGCGUGAGUGAUGAAGGUCUUCGGAUCGGAAAACCCUGUUAUUAGGGAAGAACAAAUGUGUAAGUAACUAUGCACGUCGUGACGGUACCGAAUCAGAAAGCCACGGCUAACUACGUG
rnacentral:rRNA from 1 species